GCCCCCUUAGCUCAGUGGAUAGAGCGCAGCCCUCCGGAGGCUGAAGCAGGUGUUCGAGUCACCUAGGGGGUACCA
rnacentral:tRNA from 1 species